rnacentral:rRNA from 1 species
AGUGAACGCUGGCGGUAGGCCUAACACAUGCAAGUCGAACGACAGCACAGUAAGAGCUUGCUCUUACGGGUGGCGAGUGGCGGACGGGUGAGGAAUACAUCGGAAUCUACUUUUUCGUGGGGGAUAACGUAGGGAAACUUACGCUAAUACCGCAUACGACCUACGGGUGAAAGCAGGGGAACUUCGGACCUUGCGCGAUUGAAUGAGCCGAUGUCGGAUUAGCUUGUUGGCGGGGUAAAGGCCCACCAAGGCGACGAUCCGUAGCUGGUCUGAGAGGAUGGUCACCCGCACUGGAACUGAGACACGCUCCAGACUCCUACGGGACGCCGCAGUGGGGAACAUUGGACAAUGGGCGCAAGCCUGAUCCAGCCAUACCGCGUGGGUGAAGAAGGCCUCCGGGUUGUAAAGCCCUUUUGUUGGGAAAGAAAAGCAGCAGGUUAAUACCCCGCUGUUCUGACGGUACCCAAAGAAUAAGCACCGGCUAACUUCGUG